rnacentral:tRNA from 1 species
GGGCUCGUAGCUCAGUGGUUAGAGCGGUCGGCUCAUAACCGAUUGGUCGCAGGUUCGAACCCUGCCGAGCCCAC